rnacentral:lncRNA from 1 species
GUCCCAUAGAGGUACAGACAGGUGGAUCCCCAGGGGCUUUCGGGACAGCCACUCUACCCUACACCUGGGCUGUUUCGGAAGGUUGUGGACCCUUUGACAAGUGGAGCCUUGCUGAAGGAAGGAAGUAGCUGAGUCUUCAGGUUUAAAAGCCUUAACACCCUCCCAACCCCCCAACCCCACUUCCGGGUUACUGAGUGCUUCCUGACUUUGAGACCACGUGACCACCCCAUUCCCACCAACUUCACCAGGCGGUGGUGGUGCACGCCUUUAAUCCCAGCACUUGGAGGGC